UUAAUUGUUCUUUUUCUGAGUGUUGAACGUUUCCUUCCUCAUCGUGAUGAUGCUGCAUUUCACCAGAGUUUCCUGACUGUGUGCCGAGACGUUUUACUUGUCGGUUUGGGCGACGAGACGUUCAAGGGUCACAUCCUCCACUUGUGCUCGCUCACCCUCCUCUCAGGUGAGUGUUUCAUACAUCUUAAGGGAAUAAUACAGCAAAGGUACUGGUCCACUGCAACAUGUAACAGAAGCUCACUAACAAAUAGUCCUGUUGCAUCAUGUUCUUUACCAAACAAUGUGUUUGUGUUUCCAGAGGCAGGCUACCUGUGUAUUCCUGCAGUGCUGCUGAUUUUGAAGGAGGUGGCAGACAGCUAUGCACCUGGGGACAACAAGCAGGCUGAGGGAAAUGAGGAAGAUGCCGCUGCUGUCAGUUCUGGGUGUGGUGGCCAACAUCUUCCAGAAGAUCAUCGAGCUGUUGGCUCGCCGCCUCAGGAAGGAACCAGAGGAAGGGAAACAGCUGUGUCAGUCGGCCCGUCCCGGCCUGACAGACUUCCUCCAGGUAGUGCAGACCUGGGACAAAGCCCCUCUCAGCAGCGUCUUCUCUACUCUUUUUGCCGUCAUCAUCGUGGAGAAGAGACAUUUGCUUCAGAAGGUAUGAACUACCUGCCGGAGCAUUUGUCUUUCACCGAUAUAUCCCACACGUCCUGGCCGUGAUGAGCGAUUAUGUUCUUAAGCAGUUUAAUUCAGGGAGUGAUGAAUGAACGCUGCUAUGCUCUUAUUUUUUUAUUUUUACAGAUUACCCAUCCUGAAGAGGUGAUCACGCCAGAGUCGGUGGAGGACAUGCCUCCUCUGUCCAGCGUCCUACUUUCUGUCAUCCUCAAACUACCCUCUCUUACCAGGUAAAUAUCUUCCAUCCACUUUCUCUUACUUACACUUCAAAUCCUACCAGGACCGACUGAACAUGCUUAGUCUGUCAUGUGAGUUAGUUUUAAUACAUUUGCUUAAACUAAAACUAAACUUUUUUUUGUUAUUUUUAGGGCAUUUUUGACAGAAGUCAGCUCCUCUUUCGACUCUGAGGCCCUCAACAGUCUGAAUGAACUGGCCGGCAUCCUGCACAUCUUGUCCGUCAUCAGACACGGUGACUUUACGUGAUCAGAAUUUAGAGUUUGAGUUUUUUUUCCUGGUUUUAAAAAAAACCAAAAGUUUAUUAAAUGUUUUUCUUUUUGUUAAAUGUCACACUUUCAGCCGGACACUCUAAACCGAGUUUAAAGAUCGCCGCCACGUCUGUCCAGCAGCAGCUUCACAAACACGCAGUCACAUCUGCAGACAGCAGAGACAUCCAGAGGUUAGUGGAAGGAAAUAAGAUAUUUCUGAUGCUUUCUUUAGAUAAUCUGUAAAUAAAUAAAUAAAUUCAUUGAUUUCUUUUAUUGUUGUAUAUGAGCUGUAAUGACUAAUCCUUUUGUCCCUUCCUGCCACAGGGUUAUUUAUGAAUCUUCUGUGAAGACCUUGAAUGAAAUCCUGGAUCUCUAAAUUGAUCUAUUUGAAAUGUAAUAUCUAUGUAAUAUGACUUUCAGUUGCUAAAAAUGACCCGAUUAAAUACUCCGACGUCGCGGACCGGCUUUAAAAAUACAUAUGGUUGGAAUUGAAACGCAAAGCUGAGGACAAGUGCCUUUUCUUUCUUUCUUUUACCAAGAUUGGCUCCACUUCUCCUUGUUUAUUUAUUUCCUCGAUGUCGCACAUCGCUCAAGUCUCUCAAUCUUUGUGCAUCGAUAAUGUUAUUAAGAGAAAUUGACUCCACACUGCAGGUUACAUAGAUUGAGCGGUGUUCUUCUUUAAAGCUUCCUCUCUGCUCCACUUUUUAAAAAGAAAAAACAAUUUUAUGAAAUACAUAUAUUUUUUCAUGUUUCACUUUCUGUGUUUGUUGUUCUGUCGGCGUACGUGUGAGAAUAAAACAGAAUGUAUCAAUCAAUUUAAACUCGAGGGUUAUUUCUUCUCUCGGACUGUACAGCGGUUUGUCAAGUAAUAACUCUUUACAACCGAGCAAUAAAUCCUCCUCUCCGUUUGUUCUAAAGAAUUCACUCAGGGUUUCGCUUUAGUCAAUAUUACUGAUUGUGCAGCCCGGGGAUACACAUGUACAGGUUUUAUCUGAUUUCUAGCUUCAGGAAAGAGAGGUGCAAGUCAACUCUUAUACUAACUCCACUACGUUUAUCUAGACGUUUGCUAGUGAUUUUACAGAUUAAGAUUUUAUAGAAUAUGUUGCAUUGUCCCAGAUUAAACUACCCAACAGCAUAUAUAGUAAACAAUAACUGCUCAACAAGUUCUUCUAAUUGUGGUACUUAAAGUACAUUCAGCUGAAUGCACAACAUUCACAUUGUAGUAAGUAAAUGAUCGGAUAGUUCUCCACUGCUAAUAUGCUGUAGACCUUUGUUUGUUGUUGUAUAUUUUGUUACGUCUUGGUCGUAGUAAAAUCACCAGAAGAGGUCAAUUAUAGAAGUUAUAAUAAAACUCACUGAGUAGUGCUUGAAAUGUAUGUAUAUUCACCGAGAUAUAACUAGAUAGAUAAAUAUGUUUGUAUUUAAAUGUGUGUUUGUGUAAUCUGUUUUUGUCAAGUUAAAAAGAUGUUAUUUCUGAUAUUUAAUUUAUAGGCUUGGUGCUCUAAAAAUCUCUACAAUAAUGGAAAUGAAUAAUAAAAAAUCCCCACAAAGGGACUAUAACAACAUGUAGUUGUAUUUAUAUGCAGUGACAUUUCCUAUAUUGCUAUAGCUUUCCCAUAAUAGCAUUUUUGCUGUGAUAUGUUGUCUCAUAAAUCAACAUUUGGAACAGUACAUU
ensembl:lncRNA